rnacentral:rRNA from 1 species
UACAGAGGUCCCAAGCGUUGUUCGGAUUCACUGGGCGUAAAGGGUGCGUAGGCGGUCGGGUAAGUCUGGCGUGAAAUCUCCAAGCCUAACUUGGAAACUGCGUUGGAUACUAUCCGGCUCGAGGAAUGGAGGGGAGACUGGAAUACUUGGUGUAGCAGUGGAAUGCGCAGAUAUCAGGAGGAACACCGGUGGCGAAGGCGGGUCUCUGGGCCGUAACUGACGCUGAGGAGCGAAAGCGUGGGGAGCGAACAGG